GGAUAGCGGAGAAAUUCCAAUCGAACUCGGAGAUAGCUGGUUCUCCUCGAAAUAGUUUUAGGACUAGCCUUGUUUAGUAGUACGUGGGGGUAGAGCACUGAAUGAGCUAGGGGCCAAACCAGGUUACCGAACUCUAUCAAACUCCGAAUACCAUGUAUGUAAGAACAGGAGUCAGACUGUGGGAGCUAAGUUCCAUGGUCAAAAGGGAAAGAGCCCAGAUCGUCAAUUAAGGUCCCAAAGAUAUAGUUAAGUGGAAAACGAUGUGAUUUUGCGUAAACAACCAGGAUGUUGGCUUAGAAGCAGCCAUGCAUUUAAAGAGUGCGUAAUAGCUCACUGGUCGAGUGAAGUUGCGCGGAAAAUUACCGGGGCUAAACUAUACACCGAAAUUGCGGAUUUAUACGAUAGUAUAAGUGGUAGAGGAGCAUUCUAUAGUAGGACGAAGCAUGACUGAAAAGACAUGUGGACGAGAUAGAAGAGAGAAUGCCGGAAUAAGUAGCGAAAGCAUGGUGAGAAUCCAUGCCAUCGAAAGUCUAAGGUUUCCUGGGGAAGGUUCGUCCGCCCAGGGUAAGUCGGGACCUAAGGUGAGGCCGAAAGGCGUAGCCGAUGGACAGCAGGUAGAAAUUCCUGCACCACCGAUAUACUUAAAAAGCACAAGGGACACAGGAGUGGAAGAGAAGCGAGGAAGAGGAAAGACUCGUAUCGAAAGAUAUAGUGAAAAUAAAGUAACGAAUUCUCAAGAAGCACACUGGCGAGAAAAGCUUGUGAGUCUUGUAUAUAGGUGCCCGUACCGCAAACCGACACAGGUAGAUGAGGAGAGGAUCCUAAGAUGAGCGAGAGAAGCAUUGUUAAGGAACUCGGCAAACUGACCCCGUAACUUAGGGAGAAGGGGUACCAUAUGAAAGUAUGGUCGCAGAGAAGAGGCCCAAGCAACUGUUUAACAAAAACACAGGUUUCUGCUAAAUCGAAAGAUGAAGUAUAGGGGCUGACACCUGCCCGGUGCUGGAAGGUUAAGGGGAAAUGUAAGUACUUGAUGCGAAGCAUAGAACCAAAGCCCCAGUGAACGGCGGCCGUAACUAUAACGGUCCUAAGGUAGCGAAAUUCCUUGUCAGGUAAGUUCUGACCCGCACGAAAGGUGUAAUGAUUUGGGCGCUGUCUCGACAAUGUACUCGGCGAAAUUGUAGUACUAGUGAAGAUGCUAGUUACCUGCGACAAGACAGAAAGACCCCAUGGAGCUUUACUGUAGCUUGAUACUGGGUUUUGAUAAUUUAUGUACAGGAUAGGUGGGAUACUAAGAAGCAUUUGCGCCAGCAGAUGUGGAGUAGACGUUGGGAUACCACCCUUAAGUUAUUGAAAUUCUAACCAUUCGUCGUAAACCGGCGAGGGGACAAUGUCAGGCGGGCAGUUUGACUGGGGCGGUCGCCUCCAAAAGAGUAACGGAGGCGCGCAAAGGUUUCCUCAGCACGGACAGAAAUCGUGCGAAAGAGUGCAAAGGCAGAAGGAAGCUUAACUGAGAGACUGACAAGUCGACCAGAUACGAAAGUAGGUCUUAGUGAUCCGGCGGUAGUGAGUGGAAAUGCCGUCGCUCAACGGAUAAAAGUUACCCUGGGGAUAACAGGCUUAUCUCCCCCAAGAGUUCACAUCGACGGGGAGGUU
rnacentral:rRNA from 1 species